rnacentral:misc_RNA from 1 species
GAUUCAGCCCAAAAAGGCUAUGCAAGUCCCAAGAGAAUGUUGGCACAUGAGCACAAGCAAUAGGAUAAUCCCCCAACGAGAGUUCUGUGCACCCAUCCAUUCCCAAAAGACAAAAUUGGAAAAUAAAUGGUUCAUCAAGUUGCAUCCUAAGGAAGUCACAGGAAACUAGUAUACCUAAUGGGGACAAGGAAGUUAGUGGUAUCUUGACACCUCCUAUUCGAAGGGCUUGUUUGUGAAACUGGUUCAUACAAAAGCAGACACAUCAAAAUGAAAAUGGUGCUUUCUAAAGUUGAACAAACAAUAUGCAUGGACUUCUAUGUGUUCUCACAGCACACCGAAGACUACUGCUUUUUACCAGGCACUCUCCACCAGUUUAUGAUGUCUACAGAAGCACAACUCAAAUUUCUCAAAAUCACUGUUUCAGAUAUUUCCCAGCAAAUGCAAGGUCACUCCACUUUUCAUUCCAAAUCUCACUUUCCAUAGGGAAUGAAGCAUGUAGUCGUUGCCUCUGAAGAAAGCAAAUGAAAGAAAGAAUAUAUUGCAAUCUAGGCCUUUAACAAACAAGCUGAGCCAAAACAACUUUCACUAAGAGAAAACACCAACACUAAAAGAAUUCAGAACAAACUAAUGCAUCAAAACAUAUCAGCAUUUACUUUUAAUCAGCACUCCAAGUAAUGGAGCCACCAUAUUCAA